AUGUUCCCUUGGUAGUAGAUAUAUUAAAGUUAGAACGAGAUAGAGAUUAGCAUGGCCUCUAAACAAGAAUGACAAUCAAAUUCAUGAUUCAUUCCAUUUUUUU
ensembl:snRNA U6 U6 spliceosomal RNA